GUCAUCUUCGAAGAUGUCGGCUUUGAUCAGAAAGGGAGACCAGAGGAGGGAUACAGUUAAGUUGUGAGAUUGGAAGUGCCAUUUUCUGUUCUUGUAUUUUUCGUCAUGGUAGACCUCAACAGGUACUUCUGCCUUGGAAAGAAGACAAAGUAACGACUGGACGUGAUUGCGUAAAAUUGAAUCGCCAAUCAGUGCCCAAGAUUUGUUUCUCAUGGUAUCCAGAAAUUUCUGCGCAUCAAAUAGAGCUAAAUCACAAUCAUGUGGUUUCCACCUCCAGUAAAGAUAGCCCGUGUCAGGCCGUCCAUUUUUAAUACAGUUCUGAGGAGAUUCAAUGAAUGGGCAAGUCGUGUU
rnacentral:misc_RNA from 1 species